rnacentral:rRNA from 1 species
UACGUAGGGAGCAAGCGUUGUCCGGAAUCAUUGGGCGUAAAGAGCGCGUAGGCGGCCCUGUAAGUCCGCUCUGAAAGUCAAAGGCUCAACCUUUGAAAGCGGGUGGAUACUGCAGGGCUAGAGUCCGGAAGAGGCGAGUGGAAUUCCUGGUGUAGCGGUGGAAUGCGCAGAUAUCAGGAGGAACACCAACGGCGAAGGCAGCUCGCUGGGACGGUACUGACGCUGAGGCGCGAAAGCGUGGGGAGCAAACAGGAUUAGAAACCCCCGUAGUCC